UCAUCAUCCGUAAAUUUAAAUGUUAGUCCAAAGGGGUACAGCUCUUUGGAUCAGGAUACAACCUUUAUUAGAGAGUAAACUAAUUUAAUAAUCAUAGUUGGCCUAAAAGCAGCCACCAAUUAAGAAAGCGUUCAAGCUCAACAAUUUUAUUACCCUUAAUGUAAUUAAUAUAAUUCAACUCCUAACCUAACACUGGACUAAUCUAUAAUUUUAUAGAAGAAAUACUGUUAAUAUGAGUAACAAGAUUUAAAUCUCCUAGCACAAGCAUAUAUCAGAACAAAUACUAGCUGAUAGUUAACAGCCAAAUAAAUAAAUCCUAACAAUUAAAACUUUAUUCCAUCACUGUUAAUCCAACACAGGUGUGCAUUAAGGAAAGAUUAAAAGAAGUAAAAGGAACUCGGCAAACAUAAACCCCGCCUGUUUACCAAAAACAUCACCUCUAGCAUUAUUAGUAUUAGAGGCACUGCCUGCCCAGUGACAAUUGUUUAACGGCCGCGGUAUCCUGACCGUGCAAAGGUAGCAUAAUCAUUUGUUCCUUAAAUAGGGACUUGUAUGAAUGGCCACACGAGGGUUUAACUGUCUCUUACUUCCUAUCAGUGAAAUUGACCUUUCCGUGAAGAGGCGGAAAUAAACAAAUUAGACGAGAAGACCCUAUGGAGCUUCAAUUUAUCUAUACCAACAGAAUAACUCUAUACCCAUCAAGGACUAACACUCAUUCUAACUGGUUAGAAAAUUUCGGUUGGGGUGACCUCGGAGUAUAAAUUAACCCCCGAGAAGAAUUACUAAGACUGACAAGUCAAAGUUUUAAACAUUAAUUGAUCCAGUCUAACUGAUCAACGAAACAAGUUACCCUAGGGAUAACAGCGCAAUCCUAUUCUAGAGUCCUUAUCGACAAUAGGGUUUACGACCUCGAUGUUGGAUCAGGACAUCCUAAUGGUGCAGCAGCUAUUAAUGGUUCGUUU
rnacentral:rRNA from 1 species